rnacentral:rRNA from 1 species
CACGAACCGUGCAAACGUUAUUCGGAAUCACUGGGCAUAAAGGGCGCGUAGGCGGCUUCAUAAGUCAGGGGUGAAAUCCGGCAGCUUAACUGUCGCAGUGCCUUUGAUACUGUGGAGCUCGAGGGAGGUAGGGGUCUGUGGAACUUCCGGUGGAGCGGUGAAAUGCGUUGAUAUCGGAAGGAACGCCGGUGGCGAAAGCGACGGACUGGAUCUCUUCUGACGCUGAGGCGCGAAAGCCAGGGGAGCAAACGGG